rnacentral:rRNA from 1 species
UACGGAGGAUCCAAGCGUUAUCCGGAUUUAUUGGGUUUAAAGGGUGCGUAGGCGGUUUAUUAAGUCAGUGGUGAAAGCCCGGAGCUCAACUUCGGAACUGCCAUUGAUACUGAUAGACUUGAGUACAGAUGAAGUGGGCGGAAUGUGACAAGUAGCGGUGAAAUGCUUAGAUAUGUCACAGAACACCGAUUGCGAAGGCAGCUCACUAAAGUGUAACUGACGCUGAGGCACGAAAGCGUGGGGAUCAAACAGGAUUAGAAACCCCGGUAGUCC